AUUGAACGCUGGCGGCAGGCCUAACACAUGCAAGUCGAGCGAGCGGCGGACGGGUGAGUAAUGUCUGGGGAUCUGCCCGAUAGAGGGGGAUAACUACUGGAAACGGUGGCUAAUACCGCAUACUAUCGGAUGAACCCAUAUGGGAUUAGCUAGUAGGUGGGGUAAAGGCUCACCUAGGCGACGAUCUCUAGCUGGUCUGAGAGGAUGAUCAGCCACACUGGAACUGAGACACGGCCCAGAUUCCUACGGGAGGUAGCAGUGGGGAAUAUUGCGCAAUGGGGGCAACCCUGACGCAGCCAUGCCGCGUGUAUGAAGAAGGCCUUAGGGUUGUAAAGUACUUUCAGCGGGGAGGCGUUACCCGCAGAAGAAGCACCGGCUAACUCCGUGCCAGCAGCCGCGGUAAUAC
rnacentral:rRNA from 1 species